UACGUAGGGUGCGAGCGUUAAUCGGAAUUACUGGGCGUAAAGGGCGCGUAGGCGGUCGUGACAAGUCACUUGUGAAAUCUCCGGGCUUAACUCGGAAAGGUCAAGUGAUACUGUCGGACUAGAGUACAGAAGGGGCAACUGGAAUUCUCGGUGUAGCGGUGAAAUGCGUAGAUAUCGAGAGGAACACCUGCGGCGAAGGCGGGUUGCUGGGCUGAUACUGACGCUGAGGCGCGAAAGCUAGGGGAGCGAACGGG
rnacentral:rRNA from 1 species